GCCCAGAGAGGCUGUGGAGUCUCCUUCUAUGGAGAUACUCAAGACCCAUCUGGAUGCCUACUUGUGCGACCUGCUGUAGGGAUCUGCUUUAACAGGGGGUUGGACUUGAUGAUCUCCACAGGUCCCUUCCAACCCCUGCAAUUCUGUGAUUCUGCAGUAUAGUGUUUUCUCAGUGCUAUACCCUUUAAAAGUCUCCCACACAAAGAAGAGCAAAUGGCAGUAAAUCCAAGCGUUGUUGCCUUGUCUUCUGACAUCUGUGUUCUCUGUCUAUCACUAGCAGAUAUUUAUGCUUGUUUCUUUUUGGAAAUAAAAGAAGUCUAAGGGUAUUCUGAAUGAAUUUGAAUCCCUUCUUACGUACACACAUACCAGCCCCAAAAUGAGGAUGCGCAGCCGAUGUGCAAGGCGGUUCCCUCAUGUAGGAAUCCUAGCCCACCAUCUCUGUUUCCCAAGUGAUAACUCUUAUACCAAAAUCAACUUAACAAGAGCUAGAGCAGACAGCCAAUUUUCAGGCUGUUCACAUUGCCUCCUCUCCUCAGUCUGCCAAGGCAGGAAGACCUUGCAUAACCCGAAGAUAGAGCAGCAGUACAACAGGUCUCUAUAGGAGAUGAAAACCUACUUGCGCUCUACAAGGGCAGCAUUAGAAGAUUUUGUAGUGAUGCUACACUGUGAUGCUUCCCAGAAUGAUUUGCCUGCUUCUGUUAACGGAAAUGGUAACUGCAGAGCUUUAGAGCUUCACUUUUGACUAGCAUUUCUGCACUUGAAAUCUUAUCUAAAUUAUUUGAGUCUGUAAAGCAAGGAUAGGACUUAGCUUUCUCUUGGUAUCUGUUUCCAUUUAUCUUUAAAAAGUUUUCGAGUUUUCAGUGUGCUUACUCUUACUAAUAGACUUGUUCUCAAUAACUUUAAUUCCCAGCCCGAUCAGUUCCACAAAUGGGGGCUUUUUUUUUUGUUUCAGGAAAUUCGUUUUUCUUCCAUCAGUUAUUAUAGCUUCAUGCUGGCAUUCUGUAGGGCUUCCCCCAAGGGUAUUGUGUUUCACGUGGUUUUCUCAGAAGAAGGAAUAUUUUUAGUACCUCAGAACUGUCUCUCCAUAGUUCUGCUACACCUUUUCCCUUCAGUUGUUUCGGAUUUGAAAGUCAGAUGCCACUAGUAACACAGGAAGGCUGCAGUCAAUGCCAGCCUGUUCUCAGUGCUGCCUACAGACUGAUGCAAAUUGGCAUAUUUAAAGCCUAGGCAGACAGCAGCUGUGUAAUCCAGUGGCAUUUCCUUCCAAAAUGUUCUGCACAGAAGAGGAGCUUGAAAGGAACAUGAAAUGAAGUAACAGCUUAGAGAUAAAUCCAGUUCCAAAAUAGGAGGCAACGCUAAGCUAAGCAGCAGAUCUUUUUGCUUGUAUCUGCAGAAAGAGUAAGACACUCCUGACAUGCUAGCUCUUUUUCUGCCAUCAGAUAGGUGCCCACAGACCUGCUUCCCUUGUCACCUCUCUGACCACGCUGCAAUGCCCUCCAGCCUAUGCUCACAGUUUUCUUUCCCAUGGAAACCAGGAUGCUUUUGAAGAAAAAGAGUGGGAGGGACGGUGUGUACUUCAUUUCAACCUACGUGGCUGUAGGAGACGAGCAGAAAACACCACCAGCGAGAUGCAGCCCAUUUUUUCACCCUGCUAGGUUUCAGUUAGCCAGACAGCACCUGCUUUGAAAAGCAAGCUGAAAAAAUCUCAAAGCAUCUGAUUCAAGCAGAAAAGUUCCUACAAAACUGGAGGGAAAUAGAGACUUAAAACUAGCAGGUGCAAAAGCACAGACAGUUACACAGCUUCGAGGUAGCAGUGCCUCCCGUCACAACCUGUCCCUCAGCUGUGGAGCAGGCAGAGUGAAUCACACUCACUCAGAAACAGAACACUGCUGUCUGGUGUGUUUUCCUUCAGGACACUUUUCACAGUGUGCAGGAGCUCUCCAUCCACACACGUGAGGAAUUAAGCAGGCAAAUUAAGCAUCCAACCAGCAAAGCCGUGUUGGAUGGGGCUUUGGGUAGCCUGAUCUAGUGAGAGGUGUCCCUGCUCAUGGCAGGGGACUGGAACUAGAUGGUCUUUAAGGUCCUCGCUAAUCCAAACCAUUCUGCGGUGCCUGCACCCUAAAAGUAGGAUGACUUCUGUGUGAUUUCAUUACUGAAAUCCCAGCGGUUUGGGAACUUUUUCUUGGACUGCUUCCUUUUCAGUAACCUGUUUCUUAAUUUUCCACUAAAAUGAUAAUUUUUUUUUUAUCAAAAAUGCAGUUUCUGCCACACUAACAUCUGUAACACAAUCGCUCAUUCAUCAGAAGUCAGAAAGUUGCUGUCUCUGUGGGUUGCUGCAGCAGAAAUGCUAAGUAACGGCCUGAAGCAGCGAUUGAGCACCUGGUGGGAAGGCAGGGCCAACCCAGGGGAGCUCAGGUGUAUGGAAUGCAUCUGAAUGACGUGAAGGGCUGGAGCCAGGAUCCGGCCCUUUCCAGACCUCAUUUAAGGGUUGGCAGUGGAGGUGUGGCUAUCUUGUUUGAGAUCCCUGCAUGCCAGACAUCUUUUGAAGGCUUUUGACACAAUCUCCUGAAGUAUCCUUGGAGCCGAGCUUGAAAGAGAAGGACUGAAGAGCAAGAUAGGAAGGUUGAUGGAAACUUGGCUGGACAACCAGGUACAAGGAAUAGCAUGCAGCAGGCCAAAGUUGAACUAGUGGCUAGUUACUAAUGGUGUGCCUCAAGGGCUACCACUGGGUCUGAUGCUAUUUAAUGUCUUCAUUAAACCUGAGUAAUGGAAUGAGAUGGACUUCCAGCAUGUUCACUGAUGACCCACAAUAGAGUUAACUGUCAGUACACUGAAGGGCCAUGCAAUGAAGAGGAAUCUCAACUGGCUGGAGAAGUUAUUUGACUGAAAUUUCAUUAAGUUCAACAAAGGCAAAUUCAAAGUCCUACUCCUACUAAGGAAUAAUGCAACAGCACAGGCUGGAGUCCAUCUGGCUAGAAACGUGUGUGGACAACGUGCUGAACAAGAACCAGCAGUGAGCCCCCGUGGCCAAGGCCAGCAGCAUACUCACUGUAUUACCAGGGGUGUAUCCAGAACCUCAGGGGAAGCAAUUACUUCCAUUGCUCUGUACUAAGACCAUAUCUGCAGGGCUAUGUUCAGUCUGAGGCUCCACACUAGUGUAGGCAUGGACAAACCAGAGCAAGGUCAGCAAUGGAUGCCAGGAUGGUCAGGUUGUUGGGGCGUACAGUAUAUGAAGAUGAAUCAACAAACCUGGGUUAUUCAUCCUGGAGAGAAGGUAAUUAAGGGAGGACCCCUCCAUUCUCUGUAACUAUGCAUGUGGUCACAGAGAAGGUCCAGCCAGUCUUUUCUGGAAGUGAACAACAAAAGGGCCAGAGGUAGUGGACACUGGUUGCAAUGAGAUAAACUCUGUUAAGAUACAAGAAGAUCUUUACAGUGAAGGUAGUCAAGCACUAGAACAGGCUCUCAGAGAGGCUGUGGGCUCUCUGUGCUUGCAUAUAUUCAAUACUUACCUGCAUAAGGCCCCAAAUAGCCUCAUCUUAGUUCCAAGUUGACCCUAUUUUGAGCAAAGCUUUGUACCAGAGGCAUAAGAGGUCCCUUCCAGCUUACUUUAUGGUGAGUUUAUGGCUAACAGUUGGAGGGGAUUUUGCACUUGGGAAAGUACUCCUUUUAUCUGUAUUUUGGAUAUCUUUCGUGUAACAGUAGAUUGCAUCAGAAAAGCAUCCAAAGAAGUAAGUGCUGAGGCUAGUUUGUAUCAUGACAGUCUUUUGUGAGUUCAUAAUCGUAUCACUCUGAAACUGACUGCUUCCAUAGCUGUAGACCUCUGUAUCUGAGCACUUGUCACCUGAAAUGAAAGCCUGAUGCUUUAAUCUACAAGCUGUGGCGGAUGCAGCCUCUGCCCUUCACUGCACCAGAUCAGCUGUGCAAUCCAGCACAGGUGUGAAUCAUAGAACCAUAAAAUGGCUUGGGUUGGAGGGGACAUCAAAGAUCAUUUAGUUCCGUUCCUUUCCACUGGUAGGGCUGCCAACCGCUAGAACAAGCACCAGCUCAGGCUGCCCAGUGCCCCAUCUAGCCUCGCCUCGAAUACCUCCAGGAAUGGGGCACCCAUAACCUCUCUGGGCAGUCUGUGCCAGCACCUCACUGCUCUCUCAGUGAAAGAUUCCCUGGCAUCUGAAAGUAAAGACAAUGAAGACAAUGAAGAGACGUGACUUUCCCCGGCACAGCUGUAAAAGAGCAAAAUUUGCAACCUAAGUGUCUCCAACGUCGUUUCAGCAUGGAGAAGCGUGUGAGAAAUUCCAAGCUGAUCUGAGUGAAGACCUCUCUGGAUUUGAGUCAAUGGGAAUCAUGCCACUCGUGUUAAUGACAACAAGAUUUCACAGUUCUCUUCAUUUAGGUGUGUAUGCACAAUUAAUGCAAUAAUAAGCCAGGUAAACAGAUUGAUGAGGAAACACUCGUUUUUCACCAGCUUUGUCUUUGUUUUUGAAAGGCUUCUUGCAAGCUGAAUGUAACGGUAUUUCUGAUGGUGAACCAGGAAUUAACACCUUGAUGUGAAUUUGUAUCUGGAGAAGUAUACUUGGCAUUUCGAUUGAGAACUGCAGUGGCAGGGAAUCUAUUUUUCUAAUUGCCGGAUGUGCCCAAUGAAGUGUGCAGGACAGGCUUCCGAUCUGUUCACUACACUUCCUUAAAACCUCCAAAGAUGCUUUGACUGGAGUGUAUGGAAAAUAACUGGAUAAGAAAAGCGAAGCGUAGAUGAUAGCUACGUGACACAAGAUUUUUCAGCAUUGCUCUGCUAAUGUAACCGAUGGAGUACAAGAUGUGUUGCUUGCCAUUUCCCGGAAUAAAAAAAUGAGCUGUUGAGUCUUAACGCUUUAUUCCAAUUAUGGUUAUAAAACACUGAAUCAAUUCGUUCUUUUUUUUUUUUUUUUUUUUAAAAAAAAAACAGCCCUUGCAAUAGUGCUUGGAAUUAAACAGUUCAACAGAAUUAAUAAUGAUUCCAGAUGGGUUGCAUUUGGCACUAAGAAGUGUGUGAAAGGAAACAUUUUAGGGAACUCAUUUUAAACCAGAAGUUUGAAUGAUUUAUAAAAGUCCUUGAAGGAUUUUUCACCAGUAAAAACACCCUUUCAACCUUUGCGCAUUUGGAGCUAACAAAGGAAGUGACACUGAGUGAAAAUCUUGGCGUUGGUGGAAAACGCACUAACAGAAAUGGCUGAAAUAGUAAAAUUAAAAGCCCUUGCAAAGUCAGAUUCUCAGAGCACUCUGUGUGCCUUAUUUCCCUACUAGUUAAACAGGAAAAAUGUCAGUUCCUUGCCUUUAAAGAGUACUGGAAGUGGGAAAUGUUUUGUGAUUGUGAGGUAGAUAGAUGGUACUAGAUACAGGUACUAAUACCUGUAGCAAUAUAUGGGGAACAAGAGCGCCUUCUAUCUGUAAUUUAAACUUUUCCUUAGGUCUGUGAGAGACAAGACACUGGGCCAAGAACAGUGAGGCCUAUGUCUGAUGAUAAUUAGUUUAGUAUCUAACAUUAGGCCAACUUGGGAAUACUGGAAAAGGAUGAAGGCACACUUAUAAACUCUUAUCCACAAGUAAAUGUUAUCUUACUCCACUGACUAAUUGUAUCCCUUUCCAGCAGCAUGCUUGUUAUAACCACAAAGUAUUUAGUAGACAUUUAGCUCUCUUAAAUGCAAGUCAGCAACUACAGUUAGGAAAAGAGUUGGCAUCAUGUGGUCAAUCAGCUUCUUUACUGGUUACCAAUGAUUCAUAGGUUAUAUUUACAGAGGAACAAGGAAACAGAUUACACACACUUCAUGUGUUAAAUUAAAUCAAUUAUUAAUAGGCAGAUGGACAUCUUACUAACUUGUACUCUGUAAUGAAUUUGUGUGGAUGGUAAGCAGCAAAGCAGAAGCUAAUAGACCGCCCCAAACCACUUUUUUUUGUUUGUUUAAUCAAUUAUGGUUUUAGUCUAGUGUCAGUUAAUGGAAAUUACUGAAUUUCUGCAUCCUGCCUCCUCUUCUGUGAUGUACAGCACAGUCCUUGAUCAAGACUUAACGGAGGAUGUCUUUUGCAGGGGAAGUAGAAAGUGAUGAUGCGUGGCUUCUGUCCUGUAUUACACCCAUUUGUAACCCGCAGAUUCACUGGCACAGUUAAUUCCCAAAUGACCCCGAACAUUCUCCUUGCAGAAUUCCAUCCUUUUAUUCCCAAAGUCUCUUCUCUUUAUCCUACCACCUUACAUACUUCUGCCUGCCCGUGUCACAGCCUGUCUUUGCACACUCAAGGCUGCCCGCUUGUUCAUUAUUUCUGGGCCCAAGCUGAGCACAUCUGUUUGUAGAAGAUAGUUGGACUGCACACCCAACUUCCUUCCCAGUGGUCCAGGCUCCUGGAAGCUCAUCUGUUUCAAUGAUUAAGUGGUAUUCUUCUUUAUCUACUUUAAAAUGUUAACAAAUGGUUCCACAGGCAAAUUAUUGGAUGCCAAUGCUUCUUAGAGCUGUCAUGUGUUGAUAGUAGCAUGGCUUUGUUGUGUGUCAUUAUUCUUGUUACAAUUUAAAAGCAGAUGCAGCAUGAUUAGGGAUUUUGUUUAUUAAUUCUAAUUAUUGAAAAUAACCAAGAUUUAGCCUUUAGUGUUUCAAGACUUAUAAAGAGCAGCUGAGGGAAUCAGGGUUGUUUAAUCUGGAGAAGAUGAGAUGAGGGGAGACCUCACUGCUCCUGAUGACUAUCUGAAAGGAGGUUUCAAAGAGGGGGGUGUUGGUCUCUUUUCUCAGGUGACAAGUGAUCAAACACAAGGAAAUUCUUUAGUUUGGUCAUUAGGGAGAAUUUCUUUACAAUUAAGAAGUGGUCAAGCAUUGGAAUGGGCUGCCCAGAGAAGCGGUGCAGUUCCUAUGCCUGGAGGUAUUUAAGAGAUGUGUGCAAGUGGCACUGGGGGACGUGAUUUAGUGAUGAACUCAGUGGGAGAGGUCAAUGGUUGGACUUGAUGAUCUUGAAGGUCUUUUCCAACCCAAAUGAUUCAGCGGUUCUGUGAUUUUUUUUUUAAUUCUAUCUUAGCAUAGAGUAUAUCACACCCUCUACCUUCUGUUAAUUACAAAUUUGAGAAAUAAUACCACUGCUUCCUUUCAUUUUCUGAAUUUUCCAGGCCUUCACUUCUUUCCCUACACCACUGCAUGAACUUGAAAGAAAAGGUUGCAUCCUACAUAUUGGGUCUGUGAUGGUUUACUUUUAGUCUGCCUAUACUGAGCCAGGUUCUGAGGCUCCGCACAACCAACAGAGCUGCACUUUUCAGGCUGUGCUUUCUCUUCUCAUCUGCCUUGGGAGUUCUGGCCACAAACACCACUUUCCUUCCAUCCUCUUUGAAAGGGUUUACAGGCUUAAGCUGUUGUUUCUUCUUGUCCUUUCCUGGGGUUUUGAUAUUUUGCAAGAAGGAUUAGUAGCAAGUCUGACCACACACCUUUCCUACUCCCUACCUUCUUCAGUAGUUGCAGGAAUGGUAUCAUGUUGUCCAUGUUUGGAAUUUCUCCAUUCAUUUGAUAUGUACGGAUGAAUCUGACUUCACAGUGUUUGAACCAAAACUCAAUGAAGUGAAUGGAAAAAUUCCUAAUUCCCUCAGUUACGGGGCCUCAUCCUCUUGGCUUUGGUUACUCUGAAGCUCUGUGCCUUUUCUGUAGUUACUUGGGAGUUUACAAAGCUGGGGGAAAGCUUUUAUAAGUAUGGCAACAAUGGAACAUCACGGUUUCACAGCCCCACAGCAUAGCUGUGUAUGAAUUAGAAAAGUCAGAAAAUCUGCUCUUCUCAGUAAAAUAAUACUAACAAUUUGGAAUUCACGUUGGGCUCAGACAGGCAGACCAAAGCACCAGCAACUCUGCCUAGGAAAUGCAGGGAGGAAAUCCAAACCUCAUCAACAUUUCUUUUCAAGCAAAAUAGGUUUUGAAACAGUGUAAAUAAAGACACUACCAAAAGGGGAGGAGGGAGGGAUAAAAUUGUUGUUUUCUGGAAGGACCAUGUAGGCUGAAGGGGUUUUUUUUUCCAUCUAGGAAAUGAAGAGGUCUGUGGAAAAAAAAAAAAAUUAAAAUCUAUCAGAAGCAAAGCAGUCUGGAUGAGAAGAGAAACAACUACAUGAAAAUUAACCUGUUCUUUUUUUAGAGCUGUAGCUGUCUGUAAAUUAUUUGGCAUUUUAAAGGUCUGAUCUUUAACCCAUGUAUUUGUACAUCCUUGUGCAAUGUAGCAGAUACUAACACUAACAUUUCUCAUAUUUGCAGGAAUAACUCUGGAUUUAACUGAAGCCCCUGGAGAAGUAUGACCUUGCUGUUCUCCCUUGCUAAGAGAUACAGCCUUCCUGUUUCCUUGGCCAAGCCAAGAUACCAGCAAAGGCUUGAAUCCUGCAAGAUCCUACAGCAGGCUGGAUUGCUUUUAGCUCACUAAAACCUGUGUUAUACAGUUAUAACACAAGCUUCAGGUCUGUGCAUAGUGUUAUUUCAUUUUUGGAAUAUAUCCUUUGUAACACCUUUCAGGCUCGAGGAAGAGACUUUUAACUGUUUCCUGCUGUCUGGGGAAGGAAAGGACAAUUCCCAGCCCAUUCCUUGGCUGUGGUCUUGAUCAAAUCCUGGCUGUUGCAACCAGGGCUCUGCAGAUGUGGAAACCCCUAAAGGAGAAAUUAAAAUGUGGCUCUACUUCUAAUGCAGGCUGUAGGACAUCAGAUAACUGUCUGGGCAUGCAGGCACACAAUGUCUGGGUCAAAGGAAAAGCUACAAACCAAAUCUGAUUGCUUUAUUGAUACCUUGUUUUUUUUUGUUCUUAAAAAUGCAAAUUUUUAGUAGAACCAGAAGUAUUUCUGGUAUGUCACAACAGGCAUCUGAAUAAACUUGCAGGUUAUACAACACA